UACAGAGGUCUCAAGCGUUGUUCGGAUUUACUGGGCGUAAAGGGCGCGUAGGCGGCGCGGUAAGUCACUUGUGAAAUCUCUGAGCUUAACUCAGAACGGCCAAGUGAUACUGCAGUGCUAGAGUGUGGAAGGGGCAAUCGGAAUUCUUGGUGUAGCGGUGAAAUGCGUAGAUAUCAAGAGGAACACCUGAGGUGAAGACGGGUUGCUGGGCCAACACUGACGCUGAUGCGCGAAAGCCAGGGGAGCAAACGGG
rnacentral:rRNA from 1 species